GGGGGGUUGACAUUUAUCUAUUAAAUAACUCCGAAAAUGUAUUAAUUACACUAUUGAUUACCCUAAAAAAGAUAAAACUACAAAACAAAACUGACACUACCAUUUCUACAGUUGAGAAGCAUCUCGACGGCAUAAAGAUCAGUGAAACAAAUAGCAUAUAUAGACAGCAUAUGGAGUUCCAACCAUUGUAAGCUUGUCCCCUAGUUGAACUUCCCAACUACCAAAAGCCAAUCUGAAUUUCACCCUGCACAAUCCGAUUGUCAUUUUUUAUUGCAUGACUCAACAGAGCUUCUGCCUUAAUUCUUACAAUUAGAUAAAGCAACCUUUCAAUUCAUUUGGACCCUGAACUAUUGCAAGCCUCUGACGAUUGACUUUUGGAUUUUCCCUAUCGAGUAACAUCACAUUUGUAUAUUUAAAAAUAUGUAAAAUAAAAUAUUACAGUCCGGUAAAUAAAAGAGGCAAGCUGAAUAAGGUACUAAACUUGUUAUCAGAUCAAAAGUUCCACCUAUCCAACUGCCGUUUGGCUUCAGCCAUGUCUUUUUGUGCCUUCUUUCUCCGAUAAAAUAUUGGGCAGUCCCGACUGGUGCAAAGAACAUCUUGAUGAAGAGAGCCCUGGCACUCUUGGCACUGUGUCCACAGCCUCCCAAAAAGCAACUCUAGCUCAGACACUUGAGAAACUGUUUUGCAGUACAAUUCUGCUUCUCUUCCCUUACAAUGUGAGCAGAGAGUUCGAUCUGAAUUACUAAUUAGGGCUUUGCAGCCAAUGCAACUGAGUUGUUUCUUAGCAAAUUUCAUAAUGCCACUAUUUGAAGGAGUGGAGAUGGAAAUAGAUCUUGUAUGACUUCCAUGAAGGAGUUCCUUGCUGGCAUUCUUCAAAAUGGGCUCAAAAAUUCUUAAAAGUGGCUUGCUAAUUUGGUUUUCAAGGUAAUACUGAGGAUCUAUUGGUAUAUUAUUUUCCAGAACGUAGAUAGGAUCUUCUGAUCUUUCAUAAGCCUUGGCACCUUUUGCAGCUUUUAUAAUGACGUAAGGUACACGAUCCCCAACAUUUGGAGCAGUGGCAGCAUCUCUCUUGCGCAUGCGUUCAGCAAGUUCAACAUGAGCCGCCUUAACUUCGUAAUCAUCUCCAGUCUUUGUCAAACCCUUAGUAAUAACCAGAAGUGACAAAUCCAUACGGUUCAUAAGAAGAUCAGAGAUGGUAUUCUUGACAUAUUGAACUGCACCAGGCACAUCUCUGUCUAUUAAUAUCUUGUGAAGGCACUCAUUUACCAGGUUUUUGACCAAUAAACAGUUGUCUCUUCUAACUGUUUCAAUGCCUUUAGUAUCCAUUUUGUCAAAUUUGUCUGGAUUAGUCCAGAAUAAACCAGCAUAUCUCUUCUUGCUAAUCAACAGAUAUGGAUAAUAAACCUUCUCAAAUUCUAGCUUGAUGGGUUUUAUGAAAGUUCCACUGAUGUAUUCAGCAGCUUCUCUUCCCAACUUCAUUGCUUCUGUGACAGUAGGCACACCAAAUUGUACCAUAACUGAAUCUGUGUCCCCAUAUAUAACAUCAUUCAUCAAACUUCAAUUCCAUCAAAAGCUCUAGCUUUCUCUCCAUUCAUAAAAUUCAUUGAACUUCCAAGUCCAUCAACAACUCUAGCCUUCUCUCCAAUCAUAACUCCAAAGAAUAGAAUAUAUAAUGGGUGUCAUAAUCCUCAAAACAAUUCCCAAAAGUUGGUAAUGGUAUUAGUAGAAGAAGAUUACGAUUAAAGAGUUGGCACCAACAAUUGACUACUUCUAAAUUAGGGGAUAGCAUUUGGCAGUUUGAUAAAUAAAAAAAAUUGUAAAACCAAAAUAAUCAAAUCUCAUAUUUCUUCCAACUGAAUUGAACCAAAAUAUUGUAUAAACUCAAAACCACCAAGAUGAAGAAACAAAAUUCAGUUUGGCUGGUCAUUUGGUUUUGAAAGAUGCACAAUGAUUCCUAAGUGUCACAGGCCAUUCAAUUUUCUACUUGAAAACUAAAUGAAUCAGACAACCUCAAAUUGGCUUCUAAUAAUGUCAAUAAAUUCAGUAAAAGAGAAUCCAUCUCUAAGACAGGCAUGCUAACUUUACUCAUUUAAAAAGAAAAAGCCACAACAAAAAGAAGUACUCCCUCCCUCAGUCCCACAAGGUUGUCUACUAUUCCUUUGCAGAAUAUCCAAAAAUUUAUGCCCAUUUUCACAGUCAAAAAAGUUAAAAAGUUUUAGAGUGACUUUUCUCUAUCCCUCAUUAAUUUCAUUGUAAAAUGUCAGAUUAAUUGUAACUCUGUACAUUUUCAAGACAAACAACUGUAAAUAAAGAGAGAUGCCAUUUUUUUAGGGAAUAAUGAGGGUGUGAAAGGAAAAAUGGAAUGGUAAAAAAUGUGAGUUUGCAUGAUAUUAAUUAUCUUUUCUUACAAUGAGUGAAAAAUGAAAGGUGACAACCUUUUUGGUACUGAGGGAAUAAGGGGGAAUAAAUGAAAAAGAAACAGAAGUCACAUCAAUAAUAAGAACAAAUUGAAUAAUUCACACAACAAAACUAGAAUUCCCCAAUUCUUUUCGCAUUUUUAUUGUUAAAAAGAAAGGCAACAAAAAUAAAAUGAAAAUACAAGGAAAUAAUGGCCUUAAUAGGGAUACGUUUGUUGAAAACGCUAAGAAAAAAAAUUAUAUCUAACUAAUUUCCAUUUCAAACAAAAACAUCUAGAUUUGAUAAUUUCCACAAAGGCAACAAUAGAGUCUACUUGAGCCUCAAUUUAAGUAAGUUGACCAUGUGGAUCUUCUGCAAAUCCUUGUUGGUUUGAUCAACAAUUUUGAGAGGAUUAUGUUUUUGGAUGAUUAGAUUCAAAGGUCGCACAUACAAAGAAAGAGAGAGUGAGUGAGCAGCAAAUCAAAUGAAGAGACUGAGAAUAUCAGAUAAAACAAGGGCAAAAAGAUAAUAGGAUUUGUGUAGUGCUGGAUAUAAAAAUAAAGCAAAAUGGUGUGUUUUAAUGCAAAUAUAGGCUAUGUUAUUUAGUUUUUAUGAUGUAAAAUUCUUAAAAUCAAAUAAAAAUACUUCUACACUGAACCACAUUUUAAAAUAAUCAAAUCGAUUUAACCAAAAUACACUUACUCAUCGAAAUUCCAUAUGGCUUACCUCUGCAUUUUGUUCAUAUCCCCCUAUUAUGGUAAAUUUUUCUUCCACAAGCUUUUUGGUGUGUUCAAUCAUUUGUCGACCAUAGCUUGUAACACUAGAGGAUAUCUCUAUACAUGGCAAUUGGCCAAUAGUUGCUCCUGUAAAUCCAUAGACAGAAUUUGCACUUACCUUCAAAGCCAGUUGUCGACCAUCUAGAACAGCCUUCACAAGUGGAUCCUUGGCUUCCUUCAAAUCUGCUUUUGCUCUUCUUCGAGCUGCUAAUAGUUCUUCAAGAAUUUCAGGAAGAAUUCCCUUUUGUAAAUUUGAUUUUACAAAUGUUUCACCAGAUGGAGUUCUGUUGACACAUUCAGGUGGGAUGUUGAGUUUACGAACAUCUUCAGGUGUCACCAGAGUGCAGUAACAUAGAUUAUAUGCCAUCAUUAUUGAAGGAUACAGAGAUGCAAAAUCUAGUGUUGCAAUUGGCUUUUCAUAGAAUCCUGCUCUAGCUUCCAAAACAGUUGCGCCUUCAUAUGUUCCUUGUUCAGAUCCUGCCUGUUUGACGUUGGGAAUAACAAGGUUCUUCUGUUUAGCCUUCCUCAAGAGUUGAGAAAGUACCUUGAUACUUUGUCCCCUGGAAAGAAGGAAAGAUAACGGGACGCCAGUGACACGAGCCAUUUCUACAUAAUUAUAAAUAAACAUCAGCUUGUCCAAGAGCCGCUGUGGGAGAUAAGCAUCCUUCAAACAAUAUACGGCAAGCCGCCUCCUAGUUUCUGCAUUACCAUUAUGAAGAUCAGAUAUUAUUGAAUGGUGGACAUCUUCUUUCUGCUCAGAGAGAAAGUGUGCUGAGACAGAAUUUAAUGAGUAAGAACUUAAUUUAUAAUCUCGUUGCAUUGCCUGAAGCAAAUCAAAUUGAACUCUCCCUUCCAAUGUAACUUCUUUGCUUUCCCUUGUACCAUAUUGUCUUGAUGAAAAUGUUGUAUCUUUGACCCGAACCCUGCUAUUCCUGACACGGCCCAAUAGAGGAAAUUCUGCUAUUCCCAAAGUUUCAGCUCUCUCAAUGAGAUACGGCAAGUCAAAUUUGCAGAUAUUAUAUCCAAUUAUAAUAUCUGGGUCCACUUCACGGAUAAAAUCCCUCCAAGCCAGUAGGACAUCUCUUUCUGUAACAAAUGACAUCACAUCUACACCAACUAUAGGAGAGCAUGAGUUUAAAGUCAUGACAUUACGAAUAAAUGGCUGGUCCUCUCCCUGCAAAGUAACUAGAUUGGCCACCUGAAUAACAGGAUCAUGGGUAGGCUCGGGAAAAUGACCUUUACGACCAGCACACUCAAUAUCGAAACUUAAAAUGCGAAAUGGAGCCAUUUUUGAGAAUUCACCUUCUGGGGCAUGGCUGAUCAAUUCUGAAUACAAGCAAUCAAACUCUAAUUGGCAAUAGGACAGAUUCUUUGAUGUCUUCUUAUAUUUUUCAGCAGGUACUUCAAUCCAAUUUCCACCAACAAUGUUGCAAUCAAUCAUGAAGCGGAGGGCAAAGAGAACAUUGCUUUCAUACGUCAUGAAGCUCUUCAUACCAAGGCCAUCAAUGUGUAUUCCUUUGUCAAGAAUACCACGACAGCUGGCCACCAUUGUUGGCAAUGCAACUACAAUCUUUAGAAAAGGAUGUGAAGGCUGUUGCUGGUAAUACAUAAUGCUCCUUUUUUGGACCAUUUCUAUUCGCCGGACAAAUUUGGGCACUUUACUGUUCCUAUUCAUCUCCCUCAUCCUCCCCUCAAGAAUUUGUUGAAAACGAGAAAUGUCGUCAGGACCCAUUCCAGGAGGGCAACUGAUGUAAAAAUAUGGCUCAAAUCCGUGAACUAGGCAGCAAACACUAUGUCCUUCCCUUGUGACCCCGAAAAUUCUGAUAAUCGCAGCCAUUCCUGACCUAUCAGGCAGCAGCCCCUUAUGACUCUCUCCAAUCACAUAAUCAAUCUCUAGUUGCUCGAAUAUAAUGCUCUGAGAUUGGGAACUGUACUGGUGAGAGAGGGACAGGCAAGACCACUUGGCAAGGCGAGAUGCAAAGGCCCGGCUCCUCAUCUUCCGCAAUGAGGGUUUCGUCUAGGAAGACAUCCUGAUCCAUGAAUUCGUCGUCUACGGCUAGUGUUGUGGCUUGUUGCUUUGCUGCUGGUGGCGAUGGCGUAGGUUGGGAUGUCGGCAGAGGGCGCUUCCUAGUGUUACUAUUUAGGUUCAUGUCUGUCUUUUUGGCGAGAGUGCAGAUUUCUAUUCUCUGUACUGUGUUUAGAAAGGGAGGGAAAGUAGAAGAGCUGCCUCCUCAUUUCCUCUAUGUGUUGAUCUCACCGUCAGAUCGGUGCUUUGAUCUCACCGGAGCGUCAACGGUGGCAAUUACAGCUCUUUGAUCAGACUCGAUGAUUGUUGUUGAUUUGAUGAUCUUUGUUGAUCGAGUUGAAUUCAAAGAGACGCUAAUUGUUUUGUUUUCAUGACAUGGGUAUUAAUGUCAAUUCACAAUUAACAAUAGGC
rnacentral:misc_RNA from 1 species